rnacentral:rRNA from 1 species
GCAAGUCGAACGCAGUAGCAAUACUGAGUGGCAGACGGGUGAGUAACAUGUGGGAAUCUGCCUUGUGGUUCAGGACAACAUUGGGAAACCGAUGCUAAUACUGGAUAAGCCCUUACGGGGAAAGUUUUAAUGCCAUAAGAUGAGCCCGCAUUUGAUUAGUUAGUUGGUGAGGUAAUGGCUCACCAAGACAAUGAUCAAUAGCUGAUCUGAGAGGAUGAUCAGCCACACUGGGACUGAGACACGGCCCAGACUCCUACGGGAGGCAGCAGUGGGGAAUCUUGCACAAUGGAGGAAACUCUGAUGCAGCGAUGCCGCGUGAGUGAAGAAGGCCUUUGGGUUGUAAAGCUCUUUUGUAGGGGAAGAUAAUGACUGUACCCUAAGAAUAAGGUCCGGCUAACUUCGUGCCAGCAGCCGCGGUAAUACGAAGGGACCUAGCGUAGUUCGGAAUUACUGGGCGUAAAGCGCGCGUAGGCCGUUGAGUUAGUUAAUUGUGAAAUCCCAAAGCUUAACCUUGGAACUGCAAUUAAAACUGCUCGACUAGAGUUUGAUAGAGGAAAGCGGAAUACAUAGUGUAGAGGUGAAAUUCGUAGAUAUUAUGUAGAACACCAGUUGCGAAGGCGGCUUUCUGGAUCAACACUGACGCUGAGGCGCGAAAGUAUGGGUAGCAAAGAGGAUUAGAUACCCUCGUAGUCCAUACCAUAAACGAUGAUUGCUAGAUGUUGGAAAUUUAUUUUCAGUAUCGCAGCUAACGCAUUAAGCAAUCCGCCUGGGGAGUACGACCGCAAGGUUAAAACUCAAAUGAAUUGACGGGGACCCGCACAAGCGGUGGAGCAUGUGGUUUAAUUCGAAGAUACGCGCAGAACCUUAUCAACCCUUGACAUGUCUGUCGCGAGUUUAGGAAACUAGACUUUUCGGUUUCGCCUGACAGAACACAGGUGCUGCAUGGCUGUCGUCAGCUCGUGUCGUGAGAUGU